ACACAGAGCCAGCUUUCAUCCACCCCUUUGGCUUUCCGAACUUUCUCUCUGUCUCUGCUUUUUAUCCUCCCUUCGAUCCAGUCUCAUCGGAACUCUGACCUUUGAUCGCCGGAUUUCUCAUGGGAGCGCCCGAAUUCUCCGGCCCCAACUAGGCUGAUCGGCCAUCCUCCGGCGAGAAGUCGCCCCUCACCCAUUGAGAGCUUCCGAGGCGAUCUAGGGUUUACUCGGGAUUCCGCAUGAGCUGGUUCGUCAAUCUGGGUCUCAAUUCGAAUUCCAACCACUUCAUCGCCUGUCUUCUGCUCUUUUUUCUCCAUUACUCCCCUCAAUUACCACCAUCUAUCUUAAAUUCGAGGAGUUGCUGGAACGGAGAUUCCCGAUCUCAGAGAUAUGGAGAGCCGUUGUAAUAAUCUUCCCCUCAAGAAAGUUUCUUACUCAAAUGUUGAGAGAAGAAAAUCUCUGUCACCUUCAGCUAUUGUUAUAGGCGCUGGCUUUGCAGGCAUUGCAGCUGCUCAUGCACUCAAAAAUGCAAAUUUCCAGGUUGUUCUAUUGGAAUCACGGGAUAGAAUUGGAGGCCGAAUAUAUACUGACUACUCAUUUGGCUUCCCUGUUGACUUGGGUGCAUCUUGGUUGCAUGGUGUCUGCAAAGAAAAUCCCUUGGCUCCUUUGAUUGGAAGACUGGGGCUGCCACUUUACCGUACAAGCGGUGACAACUCAGUGUUGUUUGAUCAUGAUCUGGAAAGUUAUGCACUAUUUGACACAGAUGGGCAUCAAGUACCACAAGAGCUGGUCCAGAAGGUUGGUGAUGUUUUUGAGAGUAUAUUAAAAGAGACCGACAAACUGAGGUGUGAGCACGGGGAAGACAUGUCUAUAGCACAGGCUAUUACCAUUGUCCUGGAGAGAUGUCCAGAUCUCAGGCAAGAAGGGCUUGCGUACAAUGUACUGCAGUGGUACUUAUGCCGGAUGGAAGGUUGGUUUGCUGCAGAUGCAGAUACAAUCUCACUGAAGCAUUGGGAUCAGGAAGUCUUGCUCCCAGGUGGUCAUGGCCUUAUGGUUCGAGGGUAUCGUCCUGUUAUAAACACGCUUGCAAAGGGCCUUGACAUUCGUCUUGCACACCGGGUAACGAAAAUUGCCCGUGGUAAGAAGGGAGUCGAGGUCACUUCUGGCAAUGGAGAAACAUUUUUUGCAGAUGCCGCCAUCAUCACGGUUCCUCUGGGAGUUCUAAAAGCCAAUUCCAUAAAGUUUGAGCCUCGGCUUCCAGAGUGGAAGGAAGAAGCAAUAUCAAGUCUUGCAGUUGGAACUGAGAACAAGAUUGUGUUACAUUUUGACAAGAUUUUCUGGCCAAAUGUGGAGUUUCUGGGAGUAGUUGCAUCUACUUCCUAUGGUUGCAGCUAUUUUCUUAAUCUUCACAAGGCGACAGGUCAUCCAGUUCUUGUUUACAUGCCUGCUGGUCGGCUUGCCCGGGACAUUGAAAAAAUGUCUGACGAGGCUGCUGCCAAGUUUGCCUUUUUGCAGUUAAAGGGGAUUCUCCCUGAUGCAUCUGAACCUAUUCAGUAUCUGGUAUCACACUGGGGAACGGAUGAAAACUCACUGGGCUCCUACACCUAUGAUGCAGUGGGGAAGUCUCAUGAACUCUGUGAAAGGCUGCGGAUCCCUGUUGACAACCUCUUCUUUGCAGGGGAGGCAGCAAGCAUGAAAUACACUGGCACCGUGCAUGGUGCCUUCUCAACUGGGUUGAUGGCUGCAGAAGAGUGCCGGAUGCGUGUUCUAGAAAGAUAUGGGGACUUGGACAUGUUCCAGCCAGCAAUGGGUGAAGAGGCUGAAGCAGUCUCGGUUCCCCUACUGAUCUCACGAAUGUGAUGUUGUGUCCGAUGGUCCAUCGUCCGGUUGUAACACAGCUAGUUCCCUAACCAUUCCAUUAAUUGCCUCGAGAAAACGGUGCAGGGAAAUCAGUGUUUUCUUGUGUUGUUUUUUCAGGCUUGUGGCAUGAGUUUAUGUGCUACUGUGUAACAUCAUCACUACAGUAAUGCGUGAAGAAGGAUUGGAAUACAUGAUAAAGAAUAAGUUGCCUAGCUGAUUUAGUUUGUUAAAGGCGAGUCAUUUUGCUAAAUAGAUGCUCUUGACAAUGCGCCCAUGAGAUUGCUGGAUGGUUUAGCGAGCUGGUUAUCUGCACAUGAAAAAUUCAGUUGGCGGUGGGAGGUUGAUGUUGCCACCAGGGCGUGGUUGAUGGUUUAGUCGCCUGCCCCAAUAUUUAUGGGUCUAAACAUAUGGCUGGUGUGCUGAAAUAUCUCUUUCCUGUCUCCCAUAUAGAAAAUUAUGGAGCAGGAAGUCUGAGCUGGCUUAGGUCACCUGUACUUGGAAGAAAAUUCAAUGUUCAAAAUAAAUAAAGCUCUAGAAGCACCUAUGAGGAGGGAUUGGCCAAAACAAGACGGUUGUAAUUGAGAGUCCUAGACUUCUAAUCCACGUCUAUAUUCAUAUCUUGCGAGUG